ACUUGGUUAAGAAGUUAUCCGCGGAGAAGCUGCGAGGAUGGUGGAGUGAGGCGUGCGGCUGUAAAUUGGCCUCUGGGCCGGGGGCGGGCUAGCUCCCGGGAGGCCGAGCGCAUCUGUUGGACUGUGCGAAGAGAAGAAAAAAAGAGAUCGGCCAGAGGAAAGGAACUAACCGAACAUUCUUCCUCCCUACCUUGCAGAGGGGAGUGGUCAUCUACACUAAAGCAAAGGUUCCUUAUCACAGGAAGAAAAUUUUCCUUGACCAUUAGGUGCUUUUAUAUUCAUCUCAAAAACAAAAUUCUGAACUCAGGACUUGGCAAAUUCAAUACAGAGGAGCUCCUAGGAUUCCAGUUAUCCUGCCAACUUCUCCAGGAAGAAAGAAACAACUUGCAUGGGUCUUCUGCUGUUUGCUUAAUUAUAAAGACAUCAUUUUGCAAGCUGAAGGCUGAGUUUCAUUUUAAACAGGUGGAAUCUCACUGUGUUGCCCAGGCUGGAGUGACUGGUGCGAUCUCUGCUCACUGCAAUCUCUGCCACCUGGGUUCAGGCGAUUCUCCUGCCUCAGCCUCCCAAGUGGCUGGGAUUACAG
rnacentral:lncRNA from 1 species